rnacentral:rRNA from 1 species
GACAGAGGAUGCAAGCGUUAUCCAGAAUGAUUAGGCGUAAAGCGUCUGUAGGUGGCUUUUUAAGUCCGCCGUUAAAUCCUAGGGCUCAACCCUGGACAGGCGGUGGAAACUACCAAGCUGGAGUACGGUAGGGGUAGAGGGAAUUUCCGGUGGAGCGGUGAAAUGCGUAGAGAUCGGAAAGAACACCAACGGCGAAAGCACUCUGCUGGGCCGACACUGACACUGAGAGACGAAAGCUAGGGGGAGCGAAUGGG